rnacentral:rRNA from 1 species
GGCGUAAAGGGUACGUAGGCGGCUAGUCAAGUCUGAGGUUAAAGACCACAGCUUAACUGUGGGAAGGCCUUGGAAACUGACUGGCUAGAGUGGGGCAGGGGUUGCGGGAAUUCCCGGUGUAGCGGUGAAAUGCGUAGAUAUCGGGAAGAACACCUGAGGCGAAAGCGCGCAACUGGGCCCUAACUGACGCUGAGGUACGAAAGCUAGGGGAGCGAAUGGGAUUAGAUACCCCAGUAGUCCUAGCCGUAAACGAUGGACACUAGACGUUGGCCGACCAACCCGGUCAGUGUCGUAGCUAACGCGUUAAGUGCGCCGCCUGGGGAGUACGCUCGCAAGGGUGAAACUCAAAGGAAUUGGCGGGGGCCCGCACAAGCGGUGGAGCAUGUGGUUUAAUUCGAUGGUACGCGAAGGACCUUACCUGGGCUCGACGCACUCGGAGGCUGACCGAAAGGUUGGCCUCCCUUCGGGGACUGGGUGCGAGGUGCUGCAUGGCUGUCGUCAGCUCGUGCUGUGAGGUGUUGGGUUAAGUCCCGCAACGAGCGCAACCCCUGUCCGCAGUUGCCCUCUGGGAACUCUGCGGGGACCGCUCCCGCAAGGGAGAGGAAGGAGGGGACGACGUCAAGUCAUCAUGGCCCUUACGUCCAGGGCGACACACGUGCUACAAUGGGGGGGACAACGGGUUGCAACCGGGCGAGCGGGAGCCAAUCCCAAAAACCGCGUCUCAGUUCAGAUCGCAGGCUGCAACUCGCCUGCGUGAAGGCGGAAUCGCUAGUA